rnacentral:misc_RNA from 1 species
CCUCCCUUUGGCUAUGCCCACAAGGCGUGCCUUGCCGGUGCAAAUGGUGCCAGCAGGGUUCGGUUUAGGGCUUGUAGCUCAGUUGGUUAGAGCGCGCGCUUGAUAAGCGUGAGGUCGGAGGUUCAAGUCCUCCCAGGCCCACCAUUUCCUCGACAAAAGGUAUCAGGGGCCGUAGCUCAGCUGGGAGAGCGCCUGCUUUGCAAGCAGGAUGUCGUCGGUUCGAUCCCGUCCGGCUCCACCAUCUUUCUUCUUCGGAAGGAAGGGUGUCGAGUAGAGAUGAGCGCCGAUCGGUCAGUCAUUCGUAUAAAGGUUUGCGGCGAGCAUCUGGCUCUCCGCCUGUUCUGUGUGACAUCGUAAAGAGAAGAUUUGUUCGAACUUCAUGAUCUGAAAGGUUCAUGAUUUGUCGCGGGAGACGCUCAAUCUCCCGCAUAUGAUGGGUUUGCCUAACCGCGCCCUCGAACCGAUCUCGAGAAGCUGGUCUUUUUGUGCCAAUUCCAUUGAAUUCAGGUUCUGCACAGGAUCUGGUUCGAGCGACAAUCCCUUCGGGAUUGCGCGAUGGGCAUUGGCAAUGAGAACGAUCAAGUGUCUUAAGGGCAAUUGGUGGAUGCCUUGGCAUGCACAGGCGAUGAAGGACGUGAUACGCUGCGAUAAGCUACGGGGAGGUGCG